CUCAAAGUUGAAAGUAAGGAAGAUUUACAAAGAUUUCCAUGAAGAUAGAGCUGCAGAGUAUCAACUUCACUUCACCAAUGUGGGAUGCUUCUCCAACCUCCUCAUUAUUACUUCCUCUCCUUGGCAUUUACAGUUCCCAGAUGAGAAUGAGGGUUUUGGCUACCAAGUGUAUCUAUUCUCUGACUUCAGUGUCUAGAAGAACAUUAAAAAGAAAAGGAAUUGAGAAAGAAAGAAGCAAGCAAGCAAACAAACAAACAAAGAGAAGUAGUCGUUUCGAGGCUCUGCUAAAGAGAAACCGCCAACCACAAACCUGAAAGGAUAAAUGAAUGACAACAAUCCUGUAUCUGGUCUGUAAACC
rnacentral:lncRNA from 1 species